AUCAAUUUUAUAACCUAUAUAUAACCGAUAUAUAUCCAUUUUAUAACCAAUACAUAACCACUUUAUAACCAAAACUUAAAUUUUGUUUCAAUUUGAGUGAUUUCUAUUACAUCCUUUUUCUUUCACCUGUAAACUUAUGAAAAGUGAUGUUACGUUAUUUUGAAUUUUAAGUGACGAUAUAAGCAAAUGAAACUCAAUGAAGUUGGCUGCUUUCGAAGCAAACUAGUCAUGUAUGUGUGAGUGUUGCACAUUUUUAAAAUAGUCUUUUGCGAAACUGUAGAUCAAAAGCAGCAAAAGUUGUUGUAUUUUUACAUAAAACAUACUUUUUUUUAGCAAAUAUAAAUAAAUACCUUGUAUAUAUACAUAUAUACAUACAUACAUAUAUGCGUCGAAAUAUGCAAUAAUUAAUGGAAAAUCAUGCAAAAGCACAUAUCUACAAUUCGUAUUUUCGUAACGCCGACAUGCAACCACUUAUGCAUAUAUAUAGUAAGAUAAGUAUAUAUACAAUAAAAAAAUUAUAAUAAAAAAUUUAAUAUACCUCAAAAGAUUUUUUACCUAACGCGCAAAAGUAUUACAACACAAACGAUUAUACUAACAUAUACAAAAAAAAUAUAGGAAAUUGUCGCAGUGUGCGCAGAAAUACAAACACACACACACACAAAGACGCACAUGUGUACCGCAAAGUGUCUCAACAGCUGAUUUGCUUAUUUCAUGAGGAGCUGAGCGUGUGCAGAAAAUGAUUUUAUAGAGUUGCACUCAUUUAACUCGCACUUGACACGUUAUAGGGUGCACGAAUUUUGAUAAAUGAUGACAAUACGCAAGAAAUUAGGGAUGUGGGUGAGAGAGCGCGCGUCACAAACACAAUAACACAGUGCGGAUAUGGUAGAGACACGCUUUGCCAAGCUCAGCAGUUGCCGACAUUUGAACUUGCCGAAUUUGAUGCCACCAAUACAAAUGUUGCGCGGUGAGCGGGGGUAGCAAAGAUUUUUAGUGGCGAGUAACUUCAAGCAAAGAAAUGAUUAAUGAACGCUUUGAAAAACGAGACGAUGCCGCACAUUUCCUGGCACACAAGCUUACACAUAUGUACAAAUAAAAAACUAUAUUUUGUUGUGCUGCACAAGAAUUUAAGGCUUGGGUUGGUGUACAUGUGGCAUCUAGCAAGCAAGUGCUGACAGCAGCGUUUGCUGGCAUUUGUGUGUGUGCGGGUACGUUGUGAUAAAGUAUAUCAUUUCGCUAGCCAAUGUCGUCAAUUAUAUUAUUAUACGCCUUUUGGCUACGCCUGCCUUGUGCUACCAUCGCACUGCCUUUCUUUUUGCCUUGUUUUUUAAGCGUCUUGCAGGUGGCGAUUGUUGGUUGUAAGGUCUUUAUUGCUACAUGUCCAGCCUCUGCCGCCUUACUUUCUGUUUGCUUUAAGUAUAGUGGCUGCGUAUGUUGCAUGCAACAAGUUUGACAAAAUGUCUUCAUUAACUUCGGGCGUUAGUCCAACAGAGAGCAUGAGUAAGCAGAAUUUCUUGUUAUGUACAGUGGAGCCACCCAGCUUAGAACUGGGAAUGAGAAUUGUUUAUUUCGAUGAAAAAUGUGUUGCAAAAAUGUAAGAAUUAUUCUUAAUUGACUUGUUUUCUUUCUAUUAAUUUUUUAUUGCUUUCUUGUCGAAAUUUGGCUUGAGGAAAGCAACAACAAAUUUGACAAAAUUUAAUGCAAAAAAGUAUUUGAAUACAGCAUUAAAUAACUUUGGGAUUAUCUGUAUUUGAUUAUAUCAGUUUUUAUAAGCAUUAUACCAGUUUAUGUUUAUACCAGUUUAUAUGAUUUAUACCAGUUUAUAUGAUUUAUAUCAGUUUAUAUGAUUUAUGCCACUUUUCGAUUCUUCAAUGCCCAAUUUUAGGCGAAUCGAUCUUUUGUUUUAUGCCAGUUUAUAUGAUUUAUACCAGUUUGUUCGAUUUACCAAUCUGCUGUUCCGUCGAUUCGAUUAUUUUUUCGAUUCUUCAAUCUACAAUUUUAAGCGAAUGGUUCCUUUAAUUUAUACCAUUUACAUGUUUUAUACCAGUUUGUUCGUUUCACCAAUCUACAGUUUUCGUCGAACCGUAGACAGUUUUGCUAAUUCAGCAUUUUCUUAAAAAUAUUUAACUUCAUUACUUUUAGACUUAUAUUUGUAUCUUAAGAAACUGAUCGACCUUGUGUUUUAUGAGUCCUUAUUUUUCUCUGGUUAUUUUAGUUAAGAAUUUUUUACAGAAAAGUUUUUUCUAACGUAUUUUUUUAAAUUUUCCACUUGAACUCUCUGUUAAAAAAUUAUGAUUGGGAACUGAUGAUAGCUUGGUACCCUGAGUGCGUGACCCCCAUUAGGUUACGGUCUCAUAUUCUAACCAUAGUAAUGUCUUGAUGUCAUGGCAACACAAUACCAUCCCUCAAAAUGUAUUUCACAGCAAAGAAGCGUAUAUACGUGCUCUCAUCAAAUACUCGACCCAACUUCAUUUUAUAAUAGUUAAAUUUAAAGCAACACAACUGUAUUAUUAAUAGCGAGGUUGAGGACAAUUAAUGAUAUCACAAAAUAAUAUAGGCAAGACUCAGCGAAAUUGGGGUUACACAACUUCCGCUUAUGCUCCCGUAGUAACAUUGUGGGCGUGAAAUUCGAAAGCACUAACUGGUAGCGGCAAAUUUGUCAAGUUGUCAACGUCGUGAGCUGAUUAUAGUCAUUUGUGUUGAAAAUUGCUGGAAACUUUUAGCUUUUGAAGUGCGACAGAGAGACACGCGGUCAUGUGUGUGUGUGUGUGUGUGUGUGUUGGUGUAUGUGUUUUUGAGCUUACUGCUGACACUGCGAAAAUAACCGAAAAUGUUUUGUUAUAUGAACAUAGGCAUAGUGAAAAAUUUACAGAGUGAACAAGGACAUAGUCUACCUCAUGAACAAUAGCGUACUUUAAAGCAUUUUUUACCUCAAAACCAUCAUCUGUUGUAUAAGUACAUAAAUACAUACAUAUGUAUGUGUGUAUCAAUUUUAAACAGUCAAAAAAGGUUUUCGAAUCAAGUGAAAUUCAUAGUAUAUUUAAAUAUAUGUAAUAUAUAAUAUAUAUAUAUAAAUAUAGCUAAAUACCUAUUAUCAUUCCUCUUACUAUUUAUCGACUAUUUGUAUUUGUAUGUUGUUGUAUUAGCAAUGCUUUCAUCAAAUACAUAAAAACAUACAGACUUGCAUGCAAUACUAUUAUAUACAAUAUAAUAUAUAUAUGUAUGGUAUGAAGAACUCAUAAUACACACACUAACGGUAUUUUACUAUAAGUAUUCUUAUAAAAAGUAAUAAGUAAUCAUAAUGAAAUACAAUAAAAUAAAAUGAUAGAAAAUAUUAGAAUCGAUUAUCGAUCGUUUGGAAAACGCAAGAUUGUGUAAUGAAGUAUUGAAGUAAAAAGUAUGCUGCAGAUAACGAAUAAAAUGUGUUUUAUUUCGAAAUAUACAAUGGUCUUGAGUUAUUAUUGAGUAGCGUGUUGAUUAUACUUAGUAGCUAUGGGGACGACACUGCGGCUUU